GUAGGUGAACCUGCGGAAGGAUCAUUAACACGUAUCCAAACGUACCAACCCCAAUAUAUGGACCACAACUUGCGCCCUGACGGUGUUGGGACCGUGUGCCUUCGGGUACUGGUUCCGCAGCGUGCAGCUGGGAACGGCUGUAUUGCUGGAGCUCUGCCCUCUUUGCGUGCUUCGGCACGUUUUGAGGAGCAUCCGCAUUGUACGGCUGCCUUUUUUUCCACAUCAACCCUUCUCUGGUUUGACGGAAACAAACUUCGGCGCGUUGCCUUUGACUGCCCUUCGGGACAGGCGAAGACAUGCUCGAUUUUAAAGAUAUUGAACGCUGAACAACUUUUAGCAACGGAUAUCUUGGUUCUC
rnacentral:misc_RNA from 1 species